CCUACGGGAGGCAGCAGUGAGGAAUAUUGGUCAAUGGACGCGAGUCUGAACCAGCCAAGUAGCGUGAAGGAUGACUGCCCUAUGGGUUGUAAACUUCUUUUAUAUGGGAAUAAAAUGUUCCACGUGUGGGAUUUUGUAUGUACCAUAUGAAUAAGGAUCGGCUAACUCCGUGCCAGCAGCCGCGGUAAUACGGAGGAUCCGAGCGUUAUCCGGAUUUAUUGGGUUUAAAGGGAGCGUAGGUGGAUGGUUAAGUCAGUUGUGAAAGUUUGCGGAUCAACCGUAAAAUUGCAGUUGAAACUGGCAGUCUUGAGUGCAGUAGAGGUAGGCGGAAUUCGUGGUGUAGCGGUGAAAUGCUUAGAUAUCACGAAGAACUCCGAUUGCGAAGGCAGUUCACUGGACUGCAACUGACACUGAGGCUCGAAAGUGUGGGUAUCAAACAGGAUUAGAUACCCCUGUAGUC
rnacentral:rRNA from 1 species